rnacentral:rRNA from 1 species
AUACGUAGGGGACAAGCGUUGUCCGGAUUUACUGGGCGUAAAGGGCACGCAGGCGGUUUUUUAAGUCAGAUGUGAAAGGUACCGGCUCAACCGGUGACAUGCAUUUGAAACUGAGAGACUUGAGUAUUGGAGAGGCAAGUGGAAUUCCUAGUGUAGCGGUGAAAUGCGUAGAUAUUAGGAGGAACACCGGUGGCGAAGGCGGCUUGCUGGACUGUAACUGACGCUGAAGCACGAAAGCGUGGGGAGC